ensembl:lncRNA
CAUAGGCUGCAACAGCACCCUGGGCGACGACGGCACCCGCGACGGCACCCUGGGCGACGAUGGCAGCAAGGGAACUCUGGCAGACGCCUACGCAGGCAACAGCACCCUGGGCGACGACGGCAACGUGACUUUGGCUGAUGUCUACACGGGCAACAGCACCCUGGGCGACGACGGCAACGUGACUUUGGCUGACGUCUACAAGGUCAACGGCACCCUGGGCGACGACGGCACCCACAACGUAACGUUGGACGACAUCUACACUGACAACGGCACCCUGGCCGACGAUCGCAGCACGGGCAACGGAACUUUGGCAGAUGGCAACGACACCCUGUCCGACGUCUACACCCGCAACGGCACCCUGGGCGACGAUGGCAGCAAUGGUACUUUGGCUGACGUCUACGCGGGCAACGGCACCCUGGGCGACGACGGCAACGAGACUUUGGCUGACGUCUACGCGGGCAACGGCACCCUGGGCGACGACGGCAGCAAUGGAACUUUGGCAGAUGCCGACGCAGGCAACGGCACCCUGAGCGACGACGGCAACGUGACCCUAGCUGACUACACGGGCAACGGAACUUUGGCUGACGGCUACACGGGCAACGGCACCCUGGCCGACGUCGAGACGGGCAACGGAACUUUGGCAGAUGGCAACGGCACCCUGGGCGACGACGGCAACGUGACUUUUGCUGACGUCUACACUGGCAACGGCACCCUGGCCGACGACGACACGGGCAACGGAACUUUGGCAGAUGGCAACGACACCCUGUCCGACGAAUCUACCCGCAACGGCACCCUGGGCGACGAUGGCAGCAAUGGUACUUUGGCUGACGUCUACGCGGGCAACGGCACCCUGGCCGACGUCGACACGGGCAACGGUACCUUUGGCAGAUGGCAACGACACCCUGUCCGACGUCUACACCCGCAACGGCACCCUGUCCGACGUCUACACCCGCAACGGCACCCUGGGCGACGAUGGCAGCAAUGGUACUUUGGCUGACGUCUACGCGGGCAACGGCACCCUGGGCGACGACGGCAACGAGACUUUGGCUGACGUCUACGCGGGCAACGGCACCCUGGGCGACGACGGCAGCAAUGGAACUUUGGCUGACGUCUACACUGGCAACGGCACCCUGGGCGACGACGGCAGCAAUGGAACUUUGGCUGACGGCUACACGGGCAACGGCAACCUGGCCGACGUCGACACGGGCAACGGAACUUUGGCAGAUGGCAAUGACACCCUGGGCGACGUCUACACCCGCAACGGCACCCUGGCCGACGAUGGCACCCUGGCCGACAAUGGCAGCAAUGGUACUUUGGCAGAUGGCUACUCAG